AAACUUCUCAUGUAGAAUGCGAAUGAUUGGUCUUACUGAAAUAAAACAACUAAUUAUUAAUAAAAAAAUGUUGUACAUAAUUCAUACAUUUCCUAAAAUGGCUUCUAAUUUAACAAAAAAAAAUAACUAUAAUUUCAGACCAACUCGAUGGCUUGAUGUUUGGACAAAGCUAUGAGUUUUAGUUCAAUUUUAUGUAAAUAUUUAUGGAGUCCAUUGUGGUGCAGAGUUUGGUAUGUUCGAAUAUGGCGCUGAACUUAUAAUUUUGAAUUGGAUCACUGAUUGUUAUGUGAGAAACCACCCCGCCAUUCCUAAAUGGAAUGUUCUUGAAAAAUUUGCAUUUUUCUAUAAAGAAGUUCUUGAGCACUUUGACAGGACUUGGAAUUUUAAUCAGAGACAAUAUUCGCUAAACCGAUCUUAAGAUAUGCCUUUUAAAUCAUUCUUCAUUUUUGGUUUACAAUUCUUUAGGUCAAAACCAGAAUGGUAUUUUUGUAUCCGGGACUACAUAUUUUGUGUUAUGCUUCUGCAACGUUUUUACUUCGGCUAUUAAAGGAUAAAUUGAAACUGCGGGGCGAAAUUCAAUUUUGGAAAAGAUAUCUUAACAUGGCCUCAAAUUUGAUUGCCAGAACAUAUAAGGUAAGAGUGUCACAGUAUUAGAGCGUGAAAAAGUAUGACAAAAUUCGCACUAAGGUCUUGUACUGACUUCGAUUUUUCGACCGAACAACUCAAAACGCAUUAUAAAAAAUGGUGACGAAGAAAAUGCAAACACAUUCCGUAGACGUGGUAAUGAGUUCUAUGAGUUAAAUCAACUCUGCUUCAAUGCUGUUGUCUACGUUAUAUUGUUGUUUGUGUUCUGGUAAAAAAUGUCCGUCGGAUUCGGAAUAUUUUAAUAGGCAUUUUCGCUGCGAACGAAAUCAGUACUAGGCUUUACUUCCAAUCUACAAAAAUUGUAUAACUAUUCGUUCGUCCAUAAAAUGAAGUUUAGUGUUUCCCUCUAUGAAAUAAGUAAUGUUAAAAAAAAUUUAC